UCCGUGGUUCAUGAGUUUCCUAACUCUCAUCUCUUUCAAGCACACAUACAAAAUCUGUGAUUAUUCUUCUGAGAAAAGCUGAGUGAUUGAGUCUGUUUAUGGAGAGAGAGAGAGAGAGAGACUUGAGCCUCGAUGAUGCUGCAAAGCCUUUUAAAGCAUUUUGAAAAGGUGAAUAUCUUCAAACCAUUUAUAAAUAUUUCACAUGAAGGUAAAUUUUGUUGGAACCAUUUUUUUUGGGUCGGUUUUCAGUUCUAGUUCAGAUCCACACAUGAACUGUCCGGAUCGUUUGGUACAGAAUCCAAAAACUAUGUUUUUUUCAUUUCAAAUAAGGAGUGCAUUUUGAUUUUAACAACAAUAUUGGCUCUUUGGUAUAUAGUUUCUAAUUAAUAAAGAAUAAAAUAACUCAGAAACAACCCGGUUUCGGAAGAUGCAAAGGUAUUGUUUUCAAAAUUGAAGAAGCUCACUACUAGAAAAUGCCUCCCCUUUCAUAAAAGACGGAUGCAGAAAGGUGAGAAAGAAACAGUAAGAUCAGUACGUAGGUUAUCCAUGGGAUGUGCGGGAAAAGAAACAGUACUAAUGAUCUGGUGUAAGAUAUGCAGCUGAAGCUGAGAAAGAAGUAAAUCUUAAUUAGGGUGUGGGGGGCGGCUAGCUGUUUGAUGCCUGUUUGAUUGAAAAACUUAAUAAUUGUUUGAUGAACAAUGUUCCAAGUGGUUUCGAUCUCUAGCUGUGGAAUCAGUACUUCAUUGAAAAUGGGAACUUCGAUAUGUAAAAUCGUGGUGGGAACUUGUCACAAAAUGUCACAUUGUGACUGCCUGCCAUUCUUGUCCUUGUCUCUACACUUUGUUUGUGCGGACCAAACCAAGAGAGUGAUCAUCUCUCCCAACUUGGACCCUUCGACAUGUAACCUCACACUCUCCCUUUCAUCUCAUCACUCCUUUCAAAGACAUAAUAUUAUUCACUCCACCUCUUCAAUAAUACUUCACACGUGAUAAUUCAGACCAUGGAGAUCUGUGUGCCUCUAUCACUAUCCAUGCCUUUUUGAUUCACAUAUGCAUCCAUUAUUUUUUUCGGUAAUUAUGAGGAAGAACAUAACUCGUGACCUCUUAUCCGUUAAGGUAAACUUUGUGUACUUACAAUCGCUCUAAACCCCAUUUGUAGUUUAAAUUUGAGUGUCGUGAAGCUUUUGAACAUAGGAUUUAUCUGAUUAUACAUAAUGCUAGGACCACUGGUUUCUUAAUAUUUACUCCUGAGGUAGGAGGGCAUGAUUUCCUGUUUAUUAGAUAACUUCCAUAAGACUAGAUGUUUUCUAAUAUGGCACUGCUCUUAGUCGUCUGAACGCUAAACAGUAUUCAAAUUGUCGAGGUCCAAAAAUUAUUUUUACUUAUCAAAUUAAUUUGCCUCUCUUUUCGUUUUGGAGAGGUUUUAAAAAUGCAUCUCCGUACUUUACUACUUUAGAAUCGUCUCAUAAUUUAUAGAUAUGUAGUUUGAAUUUAGUUUUCCAUAUAGUUGCAAUCGUACUUUGAAUUUAUCUUCCUGACUCUAGUAUUUUACAGAGGCUGUUUGGUGUGGACGUCUCUGCACCGGAUAUUGUAAGAGGACGGUCGAUUGGCAGUACAUAGUUCUCUUAUAGUUCUGUGCAGACGUUCACAUGUAAACAGUUUUACACGUAGAAUAUUUUGAAAACCCUUCAUACAUUCGUUACAGAUACAAAUAUAUGAACAGAUACGUGCCGUAUAUGCAUCCACACCAAUAAAAUAUUAUAUUUUUCCUUACGAUUGGAUACACAAAAAUACUUCUGUAUGGACUCACAUUUGUACGACUAGUGAGAUGCAUGAGAACUAGUGAGAUGCAGCUCUAGAGAAAUUUCUGGACAAAAUUCUGAGUGGAUCUCUUGAUUUAAUUUUCGUUUGGAAAUCAAACAAGGGUCAACAGAUCCAAUUAUAGGGAAAUUUAACAUUUGGUCCACCUUAAAUAACAUGUAAGGGGGCAUCAUUAUAUACAAUUAGUUGCUUUGUUUAUUCUUCUUCUUUUUUUUUCUUUUUUUUCAUCAUUGUAUAAAGUUGGUCCUAUUUUGUACAUAAAUUUAUUUCUUGCCAGGCCACUCAUCAUCCCUCAUGUUGAGCAAGAACACGAAAACUUUGUCACAUGGGAAAUUAUGAGUACAUAACAAAACUAUGUCAAUCUGUGGGGUUGUAUAUAUUAAUUAUUGCAUAAAUGUUGCUAAACAGCAAAUGUAAUUCUAGCUAAUUAUGUAUUAUUGUGAUGAUCAUGAUUAUCAAUCAUGAUACUAAUAACAAUGAUGAUGGACGAUGGAAUCAUGAAAUAAA